rnacentral:rRNA from 1 species
ACGCACGCUGGCGGCAUGCCUCACACAUGCAAGUCGAACGAGACCUUCGGGUCUAGUGGCGCACGGGUGCGUCACGCGUGGGAACCUGCCCUUAGGUUCGGAAUAACUCCCCGAAAGGGGUGCUAAUACCGGAUAAUGUCUUCGGACCAAAGAUUUAUCGCCUUUGGAUGGGCCCGCGUUGGAUUAGCUAGUUGGUAGGGUAAAAGCCUACCAAGGCGACGAUCCAUAGCUGGUCUGAGAGGAUGAUCAGCCACACUGGGACUGAGACACGGCCCAGACUCCUACGGGAGGCAGCAGUGGGGAAUCUUCCGCAAUGGACGAAAGUCUGACGGAGCAACGCCGCGUGAGUGAUGACGGCCUUCGGGUUGUAAAGCUCUGUUAAUCGGGACGAAUGGUUCUUGUGCGAAUAGUGCGAGGAUUUGACGGUACCGGAAUAGAAAGCCACGGCUAACUACGUG